GACGAACGCUGGCGGCGUGCCUAAUACAUGCAAGUUGAGCGCUGAAGGUUGGUACUUGUACCGACUGGAUGAGCAGCGAACGGGUGAGUAACGCGUGGGGAAUCUGCCUUUGAGCGGGGGACAACAUUUGGAAACGAAUGCUAAUACCGCAUAAAAACUUUAAACACAAGUUUUAAGUUUGAAAGAUGCAAUUGCAUCACUCAAAGAUGAUCCCGCGUUUUAUUAGCUAGUUGGUGAGGUAAAGGCUCACCAAGGCGAUGAUACAUAGCCGACCUGAGAGGGUGAUCGGCCAAAUUGGGAAUGAGACAAGGCCCAAAAUCCUACGGGAGGCAGCAGUAGGGAAUCUUCGGAAAUGGACGAAAGUCUGACCGAGCAACGCCGCGUGAGUGAAGAAGGUUGUCGGAUCGUAAAACUCUGUUGGUAGAGAAGAACGUUGGUGAGAGUGGAAAGCUCAUCAAGUGACGGUAACUACACAGAAAGGGACGGCUAACUACGUG
rnacentral:rRNA from 1 species